GACGUAGGGCGCGAGCGUUGUCCGGGUUUAUUGGGCGUAAAGAGCUCGUAGGCGGCUUGUCGCGUCGUCCGUGAAAACCUGCAGCUCAACUGCAGGCUUGCGGGCGAUACGGGCAGGCUAGAGUUCGGUAGGGGAGACUGGAAUUCCUGGUGUAGCGGUGAAAUGCGCAGAUAUCAGGAGGAACACCGAUGGCGAAGGCAGGUCUCUGGGCCGAUACUGACGCUGAGGAGCGAAAGCGUGGGGAGCGAACAGG
rnacentral:rRNA from 1 species